rnacentral:misc_RNA from 1 species
UCCGAGUUGACCCCGGCAGUCUCUUAUGAGUCCCCACCAUCACGUGCUGGCAACAUAAGACGAGGGUUGCGCUCGUUGCGGGACUUAACCCAACAUCUCACGACACGAGCUGACGACAACCAUGCACCACCUGUAUACAGACCUUGCGGGGAAUGCAUCUCUGCACUUUUCCUGUACAUGUCAAGCCUUGGUAAGGUUCUUCGCGUUGCAUCGAAUUAAUCAGCAUGCUCCGCCGCUUGUGCGGGCCCCCGUCAAUUCCUUUGAGUUUUAGCCUUGCGGCCGUACUCCCCAGGCGGGGCGCUUAAUGCGUUAGCUGCGGCACAGAGAACGUGGAAGUCCCCCACACCUAGCGCCCACCGUUUACGGCGUGGACUAC